AACGAACGCUGGCGGCAUGCCUAACACAUGCAAGUCGAACGAGACCUUCGGGUCUAGUGGCGCACGGGUGCGUAACGCGUGGGAAUCUGCCCUUGGGUUCGGAAUAACAGUUGGAAACGACUGCUAAUACCGGAUGAUGACGUAAGUCCAAAGAUUUAUCGCCCAAGGAUGAGCCCGCGAAGGAUUAGCUAGUUGGUGAGGUAAAGGCUCACCAAGGCGACGAUCCUUAGCUGGUCUGAGAGGAUGAUCAGCCACACUGGGACUGAGACACGGCCCAGACUCCUACGGGAGGCAGCAGUGGGGAAUAUUGGACAAUGGGCGAAAGCCUGAUCCAGCAAUGCCGCGUGAGUGAUGAAGGCCUUAGGGUUGUAAAGCUCUUUUACCCGGGAUGAUAAUGACAGUACCGGGAGAAUAAGCUCCGGCUAACUCCGUG
rnacentral:rRNA from 1 species